CCUACGGGAGACAGCAGUGAGGAAUAUUGGUCAAUGGACGAGAGUCUGAACCAGCCAAGUAGCGUGAAGGAUGACUGCCCUAUGGGUUGUAAACUUCUUUUAUAAAGGAAUAAAACGAGGCACGUGUGCCUUUUUGCAUGUACUUUAUAAAUAAGGAUCGGCUAACUCCGUUCCAGCAGCCGCCGUAAUACGGAGGAUCCGAGAGUUAUCCGGAUUUUAUGGGUUUAAAGGGAGCGUAAAUGGGUUGUUAAGUCAGUUGUGAAAGUUUGCGGCUCAACCGUAAAAUUGCAAUUGAUACUGGCAGUCUUGAGUACAGUAGAGGUAGGCGGAAUUCGUGGUGUAGCGGUGAAAUGCUUAGAUAUCACGAAGAACCCCGAUUGCGAAGGCAGCUUACUAAACUGUGACUGACAUUGAUGCUCGAAAGUGUGGGUAUCAAACAGGAUUAGAUACCCCUGUAGUC
rnacentral:rRNA from 1 species